rnacentral:lncRNA from 1 species
GGGCAGAGGUCGACAACGCGCAGCAGCGCGACGAUGGCGAGGUGGUGCUCCCUCAGGUGACCGACCUUCACCUUCACGGCGCCACCGAUGGGAAGGCCGCGCAGCCGGCCGACGACGGCCCUGGCGAGCUCGAGCGGGAAGCGCCGGGGUCGGGCGAGGUUGUGCUCCCUGACGAGGUCGAGGCACCUGGCCUUCACGGCGCCACCAAGGAGGCCGACGAUGUGCCAGUGGCGAUCGAGGGGGAAGCGCCCGGGUCGGGCGAGGUGGUGGUGCCCCCCGACGAGGUCGAGGAGCCCGUCCUUCACAGCGCCACCGCAGAGGAGGUCGUGCGGCCGGCGACGGAGGAGGCGGACGACGUGCCUGUCAAACUCGAGGCGGGAGGAUCGGGGGAGGAGACGCACGCGCCGCACGCCGAGAAGGAGCUCCCGGACGACACCUUCGCUGGCGAUGUCCUCGUGGACCAUAACGUCGUCCACCCCGAGGAGGUCGCCUCCCUGCGCCGGCGCCUGGCCGCCGCGCGGGCGAGGAACCUCCUGAACCCGGAUACGAUCGACGAACUAAACAAGCUGUUCGAGGAGAUGGGGCUCUCGGUUGCCGUCGCGUCGAAGGGCCAAGGUCGCCGUUGAAGAGACGAAACUGCAAAAAUAAAAGUCAUGGACUGGAGUUGGGGACCUAAAUGUUUGAGAUAUGCCCACUUUCUGAUGAAAAAGAAGAGAUGGCCUAAAUGUUUUCUGAAUUUACUUUGAGUUGAUCAGGAAGAGCCUCUCUUUUCUCUUCAUCCGCCUGUGCCCAAGAUUUCCCAUUUUCAAGUUUUCAAUUCGUUCAUUAAACUAGAGAGCGCUAACAUGCCGGAUUCCAACACAUACGUCAUGCUUUGAUAAUUCUAGCAGCGGGUAUAGAAGUGUUGGCAUUAUAAUCUGCAUCUUGCUUCGGUUUUGAAUGCCCAAAACACAACCGUACAUCGCAUAGUUUUCGAAUGCAGACAGAAACCAAUGACAUGAACCAAAAUUCAAACCAUGGGCU